UACGUAGGGUGCAAGCGUUGUCCGGAAUUAUUGGGCGUAAAGAGCUCGUAGGCGGUUUGUUGCGUCUAUCGUGAAAACCUGCGGCUUAACUGUGGGCUUGCGGUGGAUACGGGCAGACUUGAGUUCGGUAGGGGAGACUGGAAUUCCUGGUGUAGCGGUGAAAUGCGCAGAUAUCAGGAGGAACACCGGUGGCGAAGGCGGGUCUCUGGGCCGAUACUGACGCUGAGGAGCGAAAGCGUGGGGAGCGAACAGG
rnacentral:rRNA from 1 species